UGAGGCAGGAGAAUUGCUUGAACCCAGGAAGUGGAGGUUGCAGUGAGCCGAGAUCAUGUCACUGCACUCCAGCCUGGGUGACACAGCAAGACUCCAUCUC
rnacentral:miRNA from 1 species